rnacentral:lncRNA from 1 species
AAGAAUCUUUCCUCCUCUCUCUUCAUUAGAUUUCGCCACUUAGAACGAAUCUAGCUGUUCUAAAAUUCUAUAAGUUGCUCUUCGCCUUCCCUUCCUCUCUAUACUUUCAUUUCUUCCAUUUUCAAAGGUUUAGAGAGAGAGAUAUGUAUAGUAAAUUAGUGAAAGAAGAAGAGAAAGAAAGGAAAAAAGUGAAGAAAAAAGCAUCAAGGUUUCGGUAAGG